GUUAUGCCGCCAGGCGUACAGCCGAGUAGCUACGUUCGGGACGGAUAAACGCUGAAAGCAUCUAAGCGUGAAACCAGCCUAAAGAUGAGGUUUCUCAUUGCGUAAGCAAGUAAGGCCCCAUGAAGACGACAUGGUUGAUAGGCCGGGAGUGGAAGUGCAGCAAUGCAUGGAGCGGACCGGUACUAAUAGGCCGAGGACUUAUCUUA
rnacentral:rRNA from 1 species